rnacentral:tRNA from 1 species
GGGAUGUAGCUCUGUGGCACAGCUCUUGCCUAACAUGCAGGAGGCCCUGGGUUUGAUCCCCAGCACUGCCA